rnacentral:misc_RNA from 2 species
AACGCACCUUGCGCUCCUUGGUAUUCCGAGGAGCAUGCCUGUUUGAGUGUCAUUAAUAUAUCAACCUCCUCAGGUUUUUACUUGUCGAGUGUUUGGAUGUGGGGGGUUUUUUUUGCUGGUCUCUCUUGAGAUCGGCUCCCCUGAAAUGCAUUAGCGGAACAAUUUGUUGACCCGUUCAUUGGUGUGAUAACUAUCUACGCUAUUGACGUGAAGCAGGUUCAGCUUCUAACAGUCCAUUAACUUGGACAAAUUUUCAUUAAUGUGACCUCAAAUCAGGUAGGACUACCCGCUGAACUUAA